UUGAUACAGAUAAGCCAGUCUAAGAAGUUCUGAUUAUAAAAAAUUACUUUGCUAUUUUACACCAAAGAAGAACCCAACACCUCUGUCACACGCUAGCACAGUGAAUCACAGUGAUGUCCUGGAUCAGUCAACAUAAAACAUCAACCUUCAGCAGGAAGCCAAUUGUUGUCUCUUGCCUCCUUCAGGGAAGAGACAAGGCACAGAUUAUUUCUUUCUUCUUUCUUGAUGGUUUCAGAUUUUCUUUUUGUUUUGUUUUACCAGUGUUUCUUGCUGUCCAUUCAUCAAUGACACCCUGAGGACACAUGCCAAGUGACCAAGACACUGUGAAAUGCUGUUCAGGAGCAGCAACACAAAACAACCUCUUGCAUAGGGUUUGUUUGGGACAGAGCAUUCAUGAGAUACAUGGAAAGAGCAGGAAGGCCUCCUGUUGCCCCUGUUUUGCCAGGGAUUAGGGGUUGGGAAAUAAGAAAGUGAGGUCAGGGAAGGAUGUUCUGUCUUGAGGCGUUUUUGCAUGACUUGAACAGAUGAUUCGUGUAGCAUCAUAUGAUAAAGUAGUAGAUGGGAACAGGUAUGAAAAAAUAGGCAAAAGAAGAGUGAAUGAUAACUAGAAAUUUGUCCUAGGUUCUCGCUUGGGAUCAUCACUUCUCUCCAGCUCCCACACCUCUGCUAGACAGCUUUGGCUUUUCCAGACAGAAACAGAACCUCUGUCUUUUUGUUUGAGGAGCUGGAGUUCAGUGCUUACAGCUGGAAAGCAAGGUGAUUGCUGCAUGUACAGUGGGACCAUAAUUUUUAAUUCAUUAUUUGUUGUUCUGGUGCUCCUUUUAAGAGACCAUAAGGGAAGAUCAAUCUAGUGGGACUUUUUUACUUGACAAAGGGUUUUGUUCAUGCUCCCUAAAAAGAUCAAAAGCCUCUCUACAUGAGUGAAUGCAACAGGCACUGCUUGAAAGGCAUGGAAUUUGCAGGUAUCCAGUAACAGCAAAAAUGUACAGGGUAAGUUCAUGUAUCUAUUCAAAACUUGGGAAUAGAGCUCUAUGCAACACAAAUCAGAGCAGAUGCACAGAACCUCAAAGGAGUUAAGUAGGGAGGGAAAGAGAGUAGAGAUAAAAGCAUUUGUGUGUAUUUAUAUAGAUUAAGCCAGGCAAAUUGACAACAAGCCAAUAUACACUUCUGGAAGUGGCUGGAAGCAAUUGAUUACAGGAAAAGGAAGGGAAGGAAAAUCAGAAAUACGCAAGUACUUCCAGAAUAUGUGCAUUCAUGUAACAAGCUGAAGAGAAGCAAGCAAUUUUCCAGAGCCACAAAGAAUAUCAUAAGAUAUGUGGCAUAGCUCUACCUUGACUGGCAUGCUAUAUCAGAAAGUUAAGAUAAAAAAAAUGAAUUUACACAUCUUCUUAUUCUGGCUAAAAUUUCCAGACUGACCCAGGCAUAUCUCAUAGGCCCCUGUCCUUGCAAAACAGCCCCCAAUACUGCUAUAAACAUUCUUCAUUCUCAUGGCAAGACCACAAAGUCAUGACAGCCUUCUGUAAUCGAGCUUUUCUCUAAACUUCAUACCUCCCUAUGGUCUGUUUUCCUUUUAACACCAUGGCAGGAAGGACCAAGAACUGAUUUCAUGUCCAUUUCCAGAAACAGAAUCGUAUUAACCUACGUCAACCAUGGCAAGGGUUACACAUUUAUUUAGUGCAUUUAUUUCUCAAAACCAACAACUGUAUUAAAGAAACAAGAAAAAUUCAUAAUGCUAGAGAUGCUUAGUUUAUAAUACUGAAAAAAUUAACAAAUUUGCUGGUCAAAAUGUGAUCUUUGGUCCACUUCUCCCUCUGAUGCAUUGUCUCAAUUUAAAAGCAUCUUAUUGAUUAUGCAGGUAUUUAUACUAGUGUCUUAUUACACAUAACAAAGAUAAACCAAUAUAUUUUUUUCAUGUGUGUAGAUGCACACAUUUUCUUCCAUAAAAAUCUAGCAGCUGAAUUCAUUGCUGCAGUGCUAAUGGAAACACACUGUUCCUUCCUCUUCCCAGUCUCUUAGUUCUAGCAGGAAUCUCUCAUUUGACCUUCAGCAAGGCAUUUCAAUUCUUUGUGCCUGUGUUUUCUCAUCUGUAAAAUUAAGGCUAUAAUACCUACCUACUUCACAAGAGGGACAGUGUUAAAUUUAAUGCAUUAAUGUCUUAAAGUGUUUUCAGACAAAUGGAUCAAACCCACUACAGAAUGUAAGUUAUUAUUAAAUUAUGCUUCACUGAGUUAAUGCUGUUGCAUUACUGUAUCUGAUUAAAUAAGAAAAAAUGUUCAAGCGAUGCCUCUUGAAUACUUUUUUCCAAGAGGGUGAAAUUGAUGUUCACAAGCCUAACAGAUGGACUCUAAGUCUUCUUUUGGAGAAAGAAAGAAAUGAGGAAAUCUAGUAGUCAACAGAAGUGAAAGGGGCCUGGGGAGUGGAUGUUUAUGAGGUUGUUUCAAGCAAUUGUGAAGCAGAGCAACUUGUGAAGCAGAAAUUGUGCAGCAGAAGGCAACUGUGCCCUGUGACACAUCAGUCUCUGGAAGCAAUAGGGUCUCUGUUCACCUCUGUGCCAGUGGGACAGGAACACCCCCUCUGCACCAUCACGUUAACUGCUGCAUUUGGCCUCCACUCAGAGUAAUGAAGUACAAGAUCUGUAGCCUGGAGUUGCUUUCCUAGUGGAUCAGACCACCUCUCAGGCACAGUUCAGAUAAGCUUUGGGUCUGCUUGGUCGUGGCAGCCAAUCCGUCUGUGAUGAACGUGGCACUUAAACACGGUUCAAAUGGAUACAAGACAACAUUCUUUCAGAUUGCACUAAGAUCAAUUAAUUUGCUUUCCCAUUCCUCCGUCCCCAGUUUAUCGGUCCAAAGACAAGAAAAAACUCCCCCACAGAUCACCCUGUGCACGGAGAAUAUAGAAGCAGCAGGACAGAACAGCACAGCAAUCACAAACCUCCUGUGUAGCUAAAGCUGAGAUAGUAUCUCCAGCACUGAAACUAAGAAACUAUUUCAGUGACAUCUGGCAGAAUUUGACAGAUGUUAAUAUGAGAAUCCAUGCGUAGUAAAACAGGAAAAAAUACACAUCUUCAAUGACUGAACUGUACAACAUUGAAGAACUGAGAAAAAGCAUCAGAAGUUAAUUGUAAAGCAAAGAAAAAAAUUAGUAAGACCCUAAUACAGCUA